rnacentral:rRNA from 1 species
GACGAACGCUGGCGGCGUGCUUAACACAUGCAAGUCGAACGGGAUUUAGUAGACAGAAGCCUCGGCUAAAGAUUACUAAUGAGAGUGGCGAACGGGUGAGUAACGCGUGAGCAACCUGCCUAUGACAGUGGGAUAGCCUCGGGAAACCGGGAUUAAUACCGCAUAAAAUCGUAGAAACACAUGUUUCAACGGUCAAAGAUUUAUCGGUCAUAGAUGGGCUCGCGUCUGAUUAGCUAGUUGGUGAGAUAACAGCCCACCAAGGCGACGAUCAGUGGCCGGUCUGAGAGGAUGAACGGCCACAUUGGAACUGAGACACGGUCCAAACUCCUACGGGAAGCAGCAGUGGGGAAUAUUGCACAAUGGGGGAAACCCUGAUGCAGCGACGCCGCGUGAACGAAGAAGGUAUUCGUAUCGUAAAGUUCUGUCCUAUGGGAAGAUAAUGACAGUACCAGAGAAGAAAGCGCCGGCUAAAUACGUG